CUGGCGGCCUUAGCGCGGUGGUCCCACCUGACCCCAUGCCGAACUCAGAAGUGAAACGCCGUAGCGCCGAUGGUAGUGUGGGGUCUCCCCAUGCGAGAGUAGGGAACUGCC
rnacentral:rRNA from 1 species